GUUUGCCGGUGAUUUUGUGGUCAAAGCCCAGCCAGCUGAAUUUGAUCUUGACACUGAGAAAUAACAGUGGGGGAGCAGGAAGCUUUGUGACUUAUACAUAUUUCCUGUGUGUCACUGUGUAUAUCUAGGACAAUACUCACGUGUAGUCCAUAUCCUCUGGUCCUGGGAAAGGUUCCAGGGGCCAGUUGAAGAAGCAGUUCAGGAAGACCAGUCCAGCACAAGCUGCCCACACGACCAGAAUAGUAAUGAAUGGAAAGGUGACAGCAGAGGAGGCAUAGGAGCCAAUCAUCAGGGCGAUGAAGGUGGAACGCAGGUCCCCGAACAUGUUUGGCAACUGGUGAAAGAGACAGACAGUUGGCACAAUUAGCCAGCCGUUCAUCCUCAGAAGCCCGUCCAGCGGGACCAGGGGCGUCAUCUCCACCCCGCCCCCCAGGGCACCCACGGCGCCUUC